AGAGAGAGACAUGCGCGCAUAUCAAUAAGCGGAGGAAAAGAAACUAACUAGGAUUCCCCUAGUAACGGCGAGUGAAGCGGGAAGAGCUCAAAUUUGAAAUCUUAAAGGGUUUCCCUUGACGAAUUGUAGUUUAAAGAAGUGUUUUCUGUUGAAGGUUUUGGUAAAAGUUCUUUGGAAUAGGACAUCAUAGAGGGUGAGAAUCCCGUAUUUGACCAUUUACUUUCAAGCUUUGUGAUACACUUUCAAAGAGUCGGAUUGUUUGGGAAUGCAGUCCAAAAUGGGUGGUAAAUUUCAUCUAAAGCUAAAUAUUGGCGAGAGACCGAUAGCGAACAAGUACCGUGAGGGAAAGAUGAAAAGAACUUUGAAAAGAGAGUUAAACAGUACGUGAAAUUGUCAAAAGGGAAGCGUUUGACACCAGUGUUGUUUUUCUGAAAAUCAAUUAAAGAACUGUUUAUGCUAAGCUGUUUAGACUUUAUCAGCUAUCUGUUUAGUUUUGAGCUUUUCUUUAAUGCACUUUUCAGUUAACAAGUCAACAUCAAUUUCUUUUGCUGUAAAAAAGCUUGAGGAAGGUGGCUUGAGAUUCGUCUUAAGUGUUUAUAGCCUCUUGCCUAUGCAGUCGGAGAGAUUGAGGUCUGCAGCGUAGAUCCUUCGGGGCUAAAUGCAUUUGUGCUAAGUUAUAAGCAUUUUAUAGACAACCUGUUGACUAUGAUUUGUCUUGUAGCUUACUCGCUUAUGUUAUUUUACCUACGCUUAGGAUGUUGAUGUGAUACUGCGAGCA
rnacentral:rRNA from 1 species